AUUGAACGCUGGCGGCGUGCUUAACACAUGCAAGUCGAUCGGUAACGCGGGGGCAACCCUGGCGACGAGAGGCGGACGGGUGAGGAACGCUUGGGAAUCUGCCUAUCAGCGGGGGACAACACGGGGAAACUCGUGCUAAUACCGCAUACGCUCUACGGAGGAAAGCCGGGGACCGCAAGGACUGGCACUGAUAGAUGAGCCCAAGCCGGAUUAGCUAGUUGGCGGGGUAACGGCCAACCAAGGCGACGAUCCGUAGCUGGUCGGAGAGGACGAUCAGCCACACUGGAACUGAGACACGGUCCAGACUCCUACGGGAGGCAGCAGUGGGGAAUAUUGGACAAUGGGGGAAACCCUGAUCCAGCGACGCCGCGUGGGUGAAGAAGGCCUGCGGGUUGUAAAGCCCUUUCGGUAGGGACGAAAGCUCUCGACCUAACACGUCGGGAGGUUGACUUAACCUACAGAAGAAGCACCGGCUAACUCUGUGCCAGCAGCCGCAGUAAAAC
rnacentral:rRNA from 1 species